ensembl:misc_RNA Metazoa_SRP Metazoan signal recognition particle RNA
GCUGGGUAUGGUGGCACAUGCCUGUAGUCCCAGCUACUCGGGAGGCUGAGGUAGGAGGAUCACUUGAGCCUGGGAGGUUGAGGUUGCAGUGAGCCAAGCUGAGAUCACAGCACUGCACUCCAGCCUGGGCAACAAAGUGAGACCCUGUCUCAA